rnacentral:tRNA from 1 species
GCAGUGGUGGCUCAGUUGUAGGAUUCUCGCCUUCCACGUGGGAGACCCAGGUUUGAUUCCUGGCCAAUGUA